AUACUUACCUGGAUGGGCUGGAUGGGCUGAAUGGGUGAUCAUGAAGGCUCAUGGGCUAGGCUUGGUGACUUUCACUGCAAUUCGAAGGGGUGCCAGUCUGAGGUCGGUCCAAGCGGCCGAGCCUGCAUCAUAAUUUGUGGCAGUGGGGGCCUGCGUUCGCGCGGCCCCUAC
rnacentral:snRNA from 1 species